UGCAGUCGAGCGGGCAUCUUCGGGUGUCAGCGGCGGACGGGUGAGUAACGCGUGGGAACGUGCCCUCUGGUUCGGAAUAACUCAGGGAAACUUGAGCUAAUACCGGAUACGCCCUUUUGGGGAAAGGCUUGCUGCCGGAGGAUCGGCCCGCGUCUGAUUAGCUAGUUGGUGAGGUAACGGCUCACCAAGGCGACGAUCAGUAGCUGGUCUGAGAGGAUGAUCAGCCACACUGGGACUGAGACACGGCCCAGACUCCUACGGGAGGCAGCAGUGGGGAAUAUUGGACAAUGGGCGCAAGCCUGAUCCAGCCAUGCCGCGUGAGUGAUGAAGGCCUUAGGGUUGUAAAGCUCUUUUAUCCGGGACGAUAAUGACGGUACCGGAGGAAUAAGCCCCGGCUAACUUCGUGCCAGC
rnacentral:rRNA from 1 species